GCCGGGGCGACGCGGGCGCCAUGUUACAGAGGCGGGGAGGGGAGCACCGUCCUGCCUCGGCGCUCGUUGAGUUUAUCCUGCUGGCGGCGCCUGGGUGCCCACGCAGUGCAAGGACGGCGGGACAGGGCCCUACGGCGGGAGGGCGUGGGGGGAGUCCGGGUACUGUGGCCGGGGGUAAGCGGCACAGAAAGGCCGGGCGCGUCCGGGUUAGCCGUGGUGUGCGGUGCAUAUGCACGCACAGCGCAGUCAAUGCGUGGCCGCGCAUCCCGUACCGUCCAUUCCUGGGUCUUGCUUCCUUCUGUAUGGUCAUGUAUGAUAAUUUCGUGUGGGUAUUACAAAACGUAAUUUAAUAUUAAGGAGCCAAGACAGGAGGGGAUGUCUUCAGAAUUUGGAAAUGUGCAUGAUUAUACAGACUUCAGUAACAUCCUUGUGGGAUAUUUUUCAGGAGCUUAUUUCACUCAAUGCAAAAGGAUGGAGAGAGUUCCAGCUGAGGAGGUAACCAGUAAAUACAGCUUUUAAUCAUCCUUCACUGUGUUGCCCAGGGCCUUAUUCACCACACGCCACUUAAGCACCACACUGAAUGGAGUUUAAUUAACUUCCAUGUAGAUGUUGCUGUGCUAUUCAUCAGUAUACUACUGGAAUGCUUAACAAACACCAAUUAAAUUCUAAGUACUCAAUUGGGCUGUGAUGGUGUGAUUAUCUCUAUUUUGGAGGAAAGGAACUGGAGCAGGAAUAUUCUAUUUACAAUGCCCCACUUAUUUUGAGUGCUUAGCUGACGACUUCAAGAAUCACAGCUUUUAGGGAUACAAGGAAUGCAGGAUGGAUGGCCACCUAUAAAACAAUCUUAACUCUGUAGUUUCAUAUCUGUCAGUGAUUUCAGCUACAAGUAGAUGCUUUCCAGCAGCACAUCAUGUGAGUAAUCCCUGUUUUGUCUUGCUGUUUUCCUCUUCUCUUUGGUAUAAUUGUGUAUGUCUUGGAAUAUUUUCCUUUGAUAAAGUUUUUAUGUUGUUCUUGUUUUCAGUGUGUAGGUUGCUAUCUUUGUUAGAAAAGGCAAGAUCAAAUAAAUGUUUUGAAAUACAAGUAAGCCUAAGCAAAUUUGCUCUCUGAUGGAAAGUAUUGUUGUGCCAUUGGGAUGGUUAUGACAGUCUCCAUCAAAAUGUAGAACUUCAGGUGAUCUUUGUAUUUUCCAUAUGCAUGCCCUGGAGGUAAGAAGCACAACUUAGAACUUAUCCAAACGUGCUUAUCCAAAGAAGCCAUUGUAAGGAGUACUUGGUCAGUUUGAUGCUCUUGUGGUUAACACAUUGCUGAGGAAAUACUCUGCUGUAUUCUGUAAAGUUAAAGCGUGAUUGGUUAAUGCAGUUGUUCAAAAGCAUGAAUAACUGUGGUCAUCAUCCACUGGGAUAAGAUUGAAUCUUCUAGAUAAUCAAAGACAGGUGAAUGUAUUAGUUGUUACUGUUAUCUGAGUAUAGAUUAAGAAAGAAAUCAUAGAAUAAUUUUGGUUUGAAAGGUGUCAUUGGAGACAUAUAGUCCAGCAUCCCCAUUCAAUUCAAAAUCCAUUAGAUCAUGUUAUUUAGUAGUAUUUUCUGUGGUUUUUUUUUUUAGUAUCUCCAAAGACAGUGAUCCCACAGCUUCAUUCAGUUCCUAUUCCUAAGCUUGACCACCAUCAUGGUGAUUUGCUUUUUCUAACAUUUAAUUGAAUUUUUUUAUUGCAGCUGAUGCCUGUGAGUCUGAUAAUAUGUCUGAACUACACACCGACUGCUCCAAUUGUGUGUACCUUCAGCCAAAGAAAGGUUCUGCUUUGACCAGCUGGUUUUCAUCCAUGAGCUGAUCUGAACCUUCUGUGCUGUCUUGAUGAUGUAGGCAGGUUGUGCCAAGAGAUGCACAGGGCUGUGUGCCAUUUGUAAGCUGCUUGGCUUUGAGUCCAUGUCAUCUGGCAUUUUCCCUAAUGGCAAAGAAAACUAACAUUGUAAGUGAAGAGUCUGUUGCAAAGAUGAAGCUGAUUCCUUCCCUGAGUGAAGUUACCAGAACUCCAGUUCUAAUACGGCAUCUUUAAGAAGUGAAGAAGGAUGUUUGUGAGAUUCACAGACAGGAGUACAGCCUGGAGUGUGCUUCCUGAAUUACCUAAUACUCUGUCGACAAUGCUAAAGAAGCAGUUUUAGCACGUUUGUUGUGAAGAAAUUUCAAGGUUCUUUCAUAUCUAUUCAUUAGUCUAAGAAAUUACAUUGUCUCCUUUUUUUAAGUGAAUAGUUUAAGAUACAAUCCUGUCUUUAUUUGUCCUUCCAUUUAAUUUGAACUGAAACAACAUUCAAAAGGAGGUUAUUUUUUUUAAGGUCAGAGGUUGUUUUCAUGUUAUCUUUUAGAUAAUAUAUCUUUCCUACUGUCAGGAAACUUUGAGGCCCAAAAAAGUGAUGAUACUGCCAAUAGUGUCUGGUAAUGAUAUAUGUAUUUAAAGCAGAAUUUAUUUGACUCAACAUUGGUGAUUACUAUGUAGGUGUCCACAACACAGCAAGUUACCCAUGAUCAUUUUAUAGUCUUUGGAGGGCUUGUUACUAUGUCAAUGGAGCCUAGGAUGCAAUUCAGACCUUCGAAAACAGAGAGGUGAACUGCAGCUAAACCCCACUGAGUACAGAGGGAGAUGGAUCAGCUACCUUAGAUAGAAACACCUAAAUUUAGAUGGGAUAAGUAGCACUUCUAAUCUGAAGAUGAGAUUUAGGUUGAGUUGAACCAAAGAUGACUGUAAGGAAAGCAAGUUUCAUUUAGUUUAGGUCUUUUUCCUGUAUGAUACUAAAACAUGAAUUUUCAAAUCCCCCUGAAGGUCAAAUCAAGAUUGGUUCGCAAUUUUUUUUUUGUGAUUGUUUCACAAAAAUUUUCAACAAGGUUUCAGUGUGUGGCUUUACAAACCUUUUAUUCCUUAAAUAAUAAUUAUUUGUAAUAAAGUUUAAAAUUAUCUGUAAAGGAAUGUAAAAUCCACAUAAACUCUGUCUCUAGUUUCUACCAGCAAGCAAGAUCCCAUUUGAAGUAUUCUUCUUGGGUACCGUAUUUGAGGUGAAUGUCAGUGUAGUGGCACUUGCCUUCAUAGCGCUUAUGGCCAGAAAAAACUAUCACUCUUCUGCUUCAGUCUCCUAUGUUAUAACGUACAUAGAAUUUAGUCUUCUGCAUUGAGUCUAGUAACCUAUAUUUGACUUAAAUAUUUGUCAGUAAUGCAACUAAAAUAAACACAUCACCUUUCAGUCUUCUCUUCAGUAAAUUAAAUAAACAACAUUUUAAAAUAUCUUCUCCCAUCCUUUAAACUGUAUUUACUGAACUUUUUUCUUCUAGCUUAAAAAUCUGACUAUCAAACUGUACAGAUACUUUUAUCGUCAGGCUCACUACUGCUGUAUACACAAAUGAAUCAGCAACGUUAUGUUAUCAUUAUCAGCUCUUCCAAGUUUUCUGAACUUUAAAUAGGUUUGACGUUUCCUGA